AUUGAAACAUCGCUUCCCAUACGAUCACCGAAGUUAAGCAACUUCUAUCCCGGUCAGUACUGAUGGGUGACUGCUUCGGAAUAUCAGGUGCUGUAAG